CGGCGCGAGAGGUGAAAUUCUUGGACCGUAGCAAGACGGACUACAGCGAAAGCAUUUGGCAAGAAUGUCUUCAUUAAUCAAGAACGAAAGUCAGAGGUUCGAAGGCGAUCAGAUACCGCCCUAGUUCUGACCGUAAACGAUGCCAACUAGCGAUCCGCCGGCGGAUUCAUUCGCCCUGGUGGGGAGCUUCCCGGAAACGAAAGUCUUCCGGUUCCGGGGGAAGUAUGGUUGCAAAGCUGAAACUUAAAGGAAUUGACGGAAGGGCACCACCAGGAGUGGAGCCUGCGGCUUAAUUUGACUCAACACGGGGAAACUCACCCGGCCCGGACACCGUAAGGAUUGACAGAUUGAUAGCUUUUUCAUGAUUCGGUGGAUGGUGGUGCAUGGCCGUUCUUAGUUCGUGGAGCGAUUUGUCUGGUUUAUUCCGAUAACGAGCGAGACUCUAGCCUACUAAAUAGUUGGCUCAUUGCUGCUGUGGCACAACUUCUUAGAGGGAUUUUCGGUGUUCAGCCGCACGAAAUUGAGCAAUAACAGGUCUGUGAUGCCCUUAGAUGUCCGGGGCUGCACGCGCGCUACACUGGCAAAAUCAGCGUGCUUGUCCUUCCCCGAAAGGGGUUGGUAAACCGGUGAAAAUUUGCCGUGAUUGGGAUCGGACAUUGCAAUUAUUGUCCGUGAACGAGGAAUUCCUUGUAGGGGCGAGUCAUCAACUCGCUCUGAAUACGUCCCUGCCCUUUGUACACACCGCCCGUCGCUGCCCGGGACUGAGCCAUUUCGAGAAACUCGGGGACGAUUAUGCGUGUCGGCUUCGGUCGUCGCGUUGAUUGGAACCGAUUUAAUCGCAGUGGCUUGAACCGGGC
rnacentral:rRNA from 1 species